rnacentral:rRNA from 1 species
UACCUGGUUGAUCCUGCCAGUAGUCAUAUGCUUGUCUCAAAGAUUAAGCCAUGCAUGUCUAAGUACAAGCCUCACUAAGGUGAAACCGCGAAUGGCUCAUUAAAUCACACCUAAUCUACUGGAUAGUUAACAGUUACUUGGAUAACUGCGGUAAUUCUGGAGCUAAUACAUGCACAAAGCCCCGAACUUACGUGAGGGGCGCUUUUAUUAGAUCAAAACCAAACGGCUUCGGCUGUACUCUUGGUGACUCUGAAUAACUUUGGGCUGAUCGUACGGCCUAGCGCUGACGACAUAUCCUUCGAAGGUGUGCCCUAUCAACUGUCGACUGUGGCAUAGACGCCCACAGUGGUUUUGACGGGUAACGGGGAAUCAGGGUUCGAUUCCGGAGAGGGAGCCUUAAAAACGGCUACCACAUCUAAGGAAGGCAGCAGGCACGCAAAUUACCCAAUGACCGAAGGUCGAGGUAGUGACAAAAAAUAACGAUACGGGACUCAUCUGAGGCCCCGUAAUCGGAAUGAGUACACUUUAAAACCGUCCCCGAGGAUCUAUUGGAGGGCAAGUCUGGUGCCAGCAGCCGCGGUAAUUCCAGCUCCAAUAGC